ACUUACGGCCAUACCAGCCUGAAUACGCCCGAUCUCGUCUGAUCUCGUUAGCUAAGCAGGGUCGGGCCUGGUUAGUACUUGGAUGGGGGACUGCCUGGGAAUACCAGGUGCUGUAAGUG
rnacentral:rRNA from 1 species